rnacentral:rRNA from 1 species
AUCAUCUGUUGCCAGCAUUUAAGGUGGGGACUCAGAUGAGACUGCCGGUGACAAACCGGAGGAAGGUGGGGACGACGUCAAGUCAUCAUGGCCCUUAUGUCCUGGGCUACACACGUGCUACAAUGGCCGGUACAGAGUGAAGCGAAACCGCGAGGUGAAGCAAAACGCAGAAAGCCGGUCUCAGUACGGAUUGGAGUCUGAAACUCGACUUCAUGAAGUUGGAAUCGCUAGUAAUCGCGCAUCAGCAUGGCGCGGUGAAUACGUUCCCGGGCCUU